rnacentral:lncRNA from 1 species
CACAGUUUAAAUGUACCAAAUAAUGCCUUUUUUUAAAGCUAUUUUAUCUGUUGCAUAAAAAAUUAUUUCCUAUUCUGAGGAGUUCCUUAUGAUUCUUUAUAUUGCCUGUUUCAAAACUGGACCACCUUAUUCUGUGCCUUUGCUGAAUCCUACUUAAAUGGAUCUUGGGCAAAGGCUCAAAAGGCAACUUGAGGCAUCGACAUGAAAAAUAAUAUUCCUUUCUCAUGAUCCUCAAUUUUUUUAAAAAAAGCAAAUUAAUUUUGGGACCCACAAACAUAAUUAUCGAAUUCUAUGAAAUUUUGGAAAUUGAUUUGUUUAUUUUAGGGUGAGAAAAUUUUAAGCUAAAAAAGAAAAGAACUGAAACACACACACACA